CAAUAGCGUAUAUUAAAGUUGUUGCAGUUAAAAAGCUCGUAGUUGAAUUUUUGCUUGCCGCCGAUGUCGGAACUUCCGUACGUUCGGCGGCGUGCAUCCUUGGGUGGAACCUGUGUGGCAUUAGGUUGUCGUGCAGGGGAUGCUCAUCGUUUACUGUGAAAAAAUUAGAGUGUUCAAAGCAGGCUUACGCCGUUGAAUAUAUUAGCAUGGAAUAAUAAGAUAGGACCUUGGUACUAUUUUGUUGGUUUGCGCACCGAGGUAAUGAUUAACAGGGACAGUUGGGGGUAUUCGUAUUCCAUUGUCAGAGGUGAAAUUCUUGGAUUUCUGGAAGACGAACUACUGCGAAAGCAUUUACCAAGGAUGUAUUCAUUAA
rnacentral:rRNA from 1 species